rnacentral:rRNA from 1 species
UACGAAGGGGGCUAGCGUUGCUCGGAAUCACUGGGCGUAAAGCGCACGUAGGCGGGUUGCUAAGUCAGGGGUGAAAUCCUGGAGCUCAACUCCAGAACUGCCCUUGAUACUGGCGAUCUCGAGUUCGGGAGAGGUGAGUGGAACUGCGAGUGUAGAGGUGAAAUUCGUAGAUAUUCGCAAGAACACCAGUGGCGAAGGCGGCUCACUGGCCCGAUACUGACGCUGAGGUGCGAAAGCGUGGGGAGCAAACAGG